rnacentral:rRNA from 1 species
GACGUAGGGUGCGAGCGUUGUCCGGAAUUAUUGGGCGUAAAGAGCUCGUAGGCGGUUUGUUGCGUCGGCUGUGAAAUCCCGAGGCUCAACCUCGGGUCUGCAGUCGAUACGAGCAAACUAGAGUGUUGCAGGGGAGACUGGAAUUCCUGGUGUAGCGGUGAAAUGCGCAGAUAUCAGGAGGAACACCGGUGGCGAAGGCGGGUCUCUGGGCAACAACUGACGCUGAGGAGCGAAAGCGUGGGGAGCGAACAGG